GUGCCAGCAGCCGCGGUAAUACGUAGGGUGCGAGCGUUGUCCGGAAUUAUUGGGCGUAAAGAGCUCGUAGGCGGUUUGUUGCGUCGACCGUGAAAACCUGGGGCUUAACCCUGGGCUUGCGGUCGAUACGGGCAGACUUGAGUUCGGCAGGGGAGACUGGAAUUCCUGGUGUAGCGGUGAAAUGCGCAGAUAUCAGGAGGAACACCGGUGGCGAAGGCGGGUCUCUGGGCCGAUACUGACGCUGAGGAGCGAAAGCGUGGGGAGCGAACAGGAUUAGAUACCCUGGUAGUCC
rnacentral:rRNA from 1 species